AUCUAAGUACCCCGAGGAAAAGAAAUCAACCGAGAUUCCCCCAGUAGCGGCGAGCGAACGGGGAGGAGCCCAGAGCCUGAAUCAGCAUGUGUGUUAGUGGAAGCGUCUGGAAAGGCGCGCGAUACAGGGUGACAGCCCCGUACACAAAAGCGCAUGUGCUGUGAGCUCGAUGAGUAGGGCGGGACACGUGGUAUCCUGUCUGAAUAUGGGGGGACCAUCCUCCAAGGCUAAAUACUCCUGACUGACCGAUAGUGAACCAGUACCGUGAGGGAAAGGCGAAAAGAACCCCGGCGAG
rnacentral:rRNA from 1 species